GUGAACGCUGGCGGUAGGCCUAACACAUGCCAGUCGAACGGCAGCACAGUAAGAGCUUGCUCUUACGGGUGGCGAGUGGCGGACGGGUGAGGAAUACAUCGGAAUCUACUUUUUCGUGGGGGAUAACGUAGGGAAACUUACGCUAAUACCGCAUACGACCUACGGGUGAAAGCAGGGGAUCUUCGGACCUUGCGCGAUUGAAUGAGCCGAUGUCGGAUUAGCUAGUUGGCGGGGUAAAGGCCCACCAAGGCGACGAUCCGUAGCUGGUCUGAGAGGAUGAUCAGCCACACUGGAACUGAGACACGGUCCAGACUCCUACGGGAGGCAGCAGUGGGGAAUAUUGGACAAUGGGCGCAAGCCUGAUCCAGCCAUACCGCGUGGGUGAAGAAGGCCUUCGGGUUGUAAAGCCCUUUUGUUGGGAAAGAAAAGCAGCAGGUUAAUACCCCGCUGUUCUGACGGUACCCAAAGAAUAAGCACCGGCUAACUUCGU
rnacentral:rRNA from 1 species